GACAGAGGUGGCAAGCGUUGUUCGGAUUUAUUGGGUGUAAAGGGCAGGUAGGUGGUUAUAUAAGUCCGAUGUGAAAUCCCACGGCUCAACCGUGGAACUGCGUUGGAUACUGUAUGACUUGAGUACCGGAGAGGUAAGGGGAAUUCUCGGUGUAAGGGUGAAAUCUGUAGAUAUCGAGAGGAACACCAAUGGCGAAGGCACCUUACUGGUCGGUUACUGACACUGAGCUGCGAAAGCAAGGGGAGCAAACAGG
rnacentral:rRNA from 1 species